CAAUAGCGUAUAUUAAAGUUGUUGCAGUUAAAAAGCUCGUAGUUGGAUCUGUGGUGUGCGGUGGGCUCCGGGCACUUGUUGUCUGAGUAGCUCGCCGCUGCCAUCCUUGGGUGGAACCUGUGUGGCAUUAGGUUGUCGUGCAGGGGAUGCCCAUCGUUUACUGUGAAAAAAUUAGAGUGUUCAAAGCAGGCUUAUGCCGUUGAAUAUAUUAGCAUGGAAUAAUGAGAUAGGACUUUUUCGCUAUUUUGUUGGUUUGCGCGAAGAGGUAAUGAUUAAUAGGGACAGUUGGGGGUAUGCGUAUUCCAUUGUCAGAGGUGAAAUUCUUGGAUUUUUGGAAGACGAACUACUGCGAAAGCAUUUACCAAGGAUGUUUUCAUUAA
rnacentral:rRNA from 1 species